GAGGACUUAGGUUAAACCAAACCACAUGUCUUCANAACAUGAAAUAUGACCAACUCAUAGCCCUCG
rnacentral:tRNA from 1 species